rnacentral:rRNA from 1 species
GACGAACGCUGGCGGCGUGCUUAACACAUGCAAGUCGAACGGAAAGGCCCUGCUUUUGUGGGGUGCUCGAGUGGCGAACGGGUGAGUAACACGUGAGUAACCUGCCCUUGACUUUGGGAUAACUUCAGGAAACUGGGGCUAAUACCGGAUAGGAGCUCCUGCUGCAUGGUGGGGGUUGGAAAGUUUCGGCGGUUGGGGAUGGACUCGCGGCUUAUCAGCUGGUUGGUGGGGUAGUGGCUUACCAAGGCUUUGACGGGUAGCCGGCCUGAGAGGGUGACCGGCCAAAUUGGGACUGAGAUACGGCCCAGACUCCUACGGGAGGCAGCAGUGGGGAAUAUUGCACAAUGGGCGGAAGCCUGAUGCAGCAACGCCGCGUGCGGGAUGACGGCCUUCGGGUUGUAAACCGCUUUAGCCUGUGACGAAGCGUGAGUGACGGUAAUGGGUAAAGAAGCACCGGCUAACUACGUG